rnacentral:rRNA from 1 species
AGUGAACGCUGGCGGCGUGGUUAAGACAUGCAAGUCGAGCGAGAACAAAAGCGUAGCAAUACGUGGAUGAGAAAGCGGCGAACGGGUGCGUAACACGUAAGCAACCUGCCCUAAAGACUGGGAUAGCUCGGGGAAACUCGAAUUAAUACUGGAUGUGGUGCUUUUCCGCAUGGGAGAGCAACUAAAGCUUGAGACGGCUACUUUAGGAGGGCUUGCGGCCUAUCAGCUUGUUGGUGAGGUAACGGCUCACCAAGGCAAAGACGGGUAGCGGGUCUGAGAGGACGAUCCGCCACACUGGAACUGAGACACGGUCCAGACACCUACGGGUGGC